ACAACGGGUGGAGCCUUGCGGUUUAAUUGGACUCAACGCGGGCAGCUCACCGGAUAAGACAGCUGGAUGAUAGCCGGGCUGAAGACUCUGCUUGACUAGCUGAGAGGAGGUGCAUGGCCGUCGUCAGUUCGUACUGUGAAGCAUCCUGUUAAGUCAGGCAACGAGCGAGACCCACGCCAACAGUUGCCAGCAUGUCCUCCGGGAUGAUGGGGACACUGUUGGGACCGCCUCUGCUAAAGAGGAGGAAGGAAUGGGCAACGGUAGGUCAGCAUGCCCCGAAUUAUCCGGGCUACACGCGGGCUACAAUGGUCAGGACAAUGGGUAUCGACACCGAGAGGUGGAGGCAAUCUCCUAAACCUGUCCUUAGUUCGGAUUGUGGGCUGCAACUCGCCCACAUGAAGCUGGAAUCCGUAGUAAUCGCGUUCCAAAAUAGCGCGGUGAAUAUGUCCCUGCUCCUU
rnacentral:rRNA from 1 species